AAAGGAAUAGACGGGGACCCGCACAAGCAGUGGAGCAUGUGGUUUAAUUCGAAGCAACGCGAAGAACCUUACCAGGUCUUGACAUCCCUCUGACCGGUGCAGAGAUGUGCCUUUCCCCUUUUGGGGGACAGAGGAGACAGGUGGUGCAUGGUUGUCGUCAGCUCGUGUCGUGAGAUGUUGGGUUAAGUCCCGCAACGAGCGCAACCCUUGGCUUCAGUUGCCAGCACGUGAUGGUGGGCACUCUGGAGCGACUGCCGGUGACAAACCGGAGGAAGGCGGGGAUGACGUCAAAUCAUCAUGCCCCUUAUGACCUGGGCUACACACGUGCUACAAUGGCCGGUACAAAGGGCAGCGAAGCCGCGAGGCGGAGCCAAUCCCAAAAAGCCGGUCUCAGUUCGGAUUGCAGGCUGCAACUCGCCUGCAUGAAGUCGGAAUUGCUAGUAAUCGCGGAUCAGCAUGCCGCGGUGAAUACGUUCCCGGGUCUUGCACACACCGCCCGU
rnacentral:rRNA from 1 species